AACGAACGCUGGCGGCAUGCCUAACACAUGCAAGUCGAACGAGACCUUCGGGUCUAGUGGCGCACGGGUGCGUAACGCGUGGGAACCUGCCUUUAGGUUCGGAAUAACUCAGAGAAAUUUGAGCUAAUACCGGAUGAUGUCUUCGGACCAAAGAUUUAUCGCCUUUAGAUGGGCCCGCGUUGGAUUAGCUAGUUGGUGGGGUAAAGGCCAACCAAGGCGACGAUCCAUAGCGGGUCUGAGAGGAUGAUCAGCCACACUGGGACUGAGACACGGCCCAGACUCCUACGGGGGGCAGCAGUGGGGAAUGUUGGACAAUGGGCGAAAGCCUGAUCCAGCAAUGCCGCGUGAGUGAUGAAGGCCUUAGGGUUGUAAAGCUCUUUUACCCGAGAUGAUAAUGACAGUAUCGGGAGAAUAAGCUCCGGCUAACUCCGUGCCAGCCGCCGCCGUAAUAC
rnacentral:rRNA from 1 species